rnacentral:lncRNA from 1 species
AAAGAGGACUAACCUAGCUAACCUAGAAAGACCGAGGACAGAGAUCUGAUCUGCCAUUUUUCACGAAGAAUAGACCCCCCCACAACCCCCAACGUCUUCUUCUUCAGUAUUCACACCCAAAAAACCAAAAAAAAAACCCUAGGAAAUCCCUACUUGAAAAAUCAGGAGCUAACCUAGAGCUAGACCUGAAGCAGUGCCGCAGAACACACAUAGAAGAGACCUCGUCCCCCGCUCGGUGGGUCUUCUGCUAAAGAAGGAAGCAUCCAUUUCCAUGGUUGGCCGCUGAACCAAAAACGACCCCAUCUCCACCUUUACACCACCAUGAAAGACCCAUAAACACCCAUAUUUUUAGCCAUUUACAGCCAUAAACACGACCUCCCCCACCUGAAUUCUUUCUUCUUCGACAAAGAGGAACAAUCCAACUAAAUAAACCACAGAAGGUCAAUGGGUUGCUUCGAAUAUACAGGGCAAGAAAACUAUCAUGUCUGGUUCUGAGAAGUUUGAGGAAGGCAUAAAGAGUUUGAAAGUUGAUUGUGAUUAUGCGUCUGAAACCUUUUGCGUUUGAUGUUGUUCGUUUGCAAAUCCGAGGUGCCGAUUCGAGGUCCGUUGUUGAAUUUUGUCGCGGUUCGGCAAGUUUUGAGGUCUGGAUUGUAGUUCCGUCGAGGUUUUCAUUUUGGUCCAGUGAUUAAUUUCGUUUUUUUGUGUGUGAAGAUUCAGUGUAAGAUUCACUUUCUUUCAUUUGGUUUUGUUCUGAUUACAUGUUUCUGACUAUGUGUUUUGUUUCUUCAGUAACCUGUGUGAAGAGUAGUGUUUUUCUUCGAUUAUUUGUUCUGAUUUAGCUGUAGAAUUUCUCUGUUAGAAGGUGUAUAAAUUGUAUAUUUUGUGAAAGUAGGAAGUUUUCCUAACUUAGUUGAAUAGCGUGGAAGUAAAGUUAGUCCUAAACCAUAGGAUAAAUUAAUUUAUGAAUCUGUUAGUAUGCUUUUAGACUCACUUUUAAUCUAUUAUUGUGAUUGUGUACACGUUAGCGUGACAUAGUUACGAUUCUAGAAAUUAAAAUCGGGGUAUGCGUUCGCGCAACUUUGGGUGAAAUAAUCUUAUUAAUUAAUAAAGCGUUAUCAAUUGUGGACACGUUCGCGUGAUAUGAUUUUUGACGCACCAAACAAAUAGGUACACGUGUGCGUGACCUGUUUUAAGAUAAUUUCUUAAUCAAAAAAGGCAAAUGCGCAUAGGUUCUAAAAUGAGUAAUUAGACAAUUUGAUUAAGCCAAGUAUGAUCAAAGCGACCGUGCAAAAACCAUGGAACCCACGAAUGCCGAACAUCUUCUCUCGGGUUAACAGAAUUUCUUACUCGGAUCUCUGUGUUCGCAGACCAUAAAUAAGAGUCAACUUCCUCGAUUCGGGAUUUUAAACCGGUGACUUGGGAUACCAUAAAUUAUCUCAAGUGGCGACUCUAAUAUCUAAAUAAAAUAAUCCCGUUUCGAUUGUCACUUAAAUUGGAAACACUCCCUUAUACCCCUCCUGGGUAGUAAAAAGAAAGUGUGACAGCUCUGGCGACUCUGCUGGGAGAAGAACCUAGAAUCUCUGGUUUAGGGUUCAAGAAUUUGAGCUUUUUAAUAUGACUUUAUUUGGCUUUAUUUAUUGUUAAUAUUACUGUAUUUUGUGAACCUUUUGUGCUAAUUGUUGUUUAUUUACAAUUUCGAUAUUAUUGAAUUGUAUUAAAAUGCCUUCUUACGUCACCCCUCUGAGUCUUCUAAAAAUGGUGCACACAUUCGCAUGACCUACUUUUUCUGUUAGAAGUUAUACCAAAUAGAACGAGGCUGGGCUAGCAACAAGGCCGGGUAGACUUUCGUGCUCCCGGUAUGUUGCCCUCUCUUCGGCUUGAGUUGUCCGCUCGGGUAAGCCAGGUCUAGAACACAACCCCUGGUUUAAACCUAUAAUAACAUAACCUCAUGCCGGAUACCUCGUAGGAACGUUUGUUUGCAUUACAUGCAUUUGACUUAGGGGACUCAACAAAGGGGUUGGGUCCGUCUAGGGCAAGUGUACCCAAAAAUAAAGACCAUCCUGAUGCAUGUGCUACAUAUUGCAUUUCUUCAAGAGUAAAAGGAGUCAUUUGGCGGACCAAUGAUGGUUGAGGAUAAAUGAAAAAAAGGUGAAGUGUAAACAAUAAAGCAAGUAGGGCCCAAUUAUUUUUUCUUUCACAUUUGUUUUAAGAAAAAGACAAAACAAAAGACAAAAAAAUUGAAAAAAUCCAAAAAGAGUUUGCACUUUCCCAUUAUUUUUCAAAAAAAAGACAAAAAAUAUGUUUUCUCUAAAUUAGCUGUUUCUUUUAAUUCUCGCCCAUAUCCAAUCUGCCCGAACUACGCGAACCUGAUUGUCGACUCUCGGGGCGGGAUACGUAGGCAACCCACAUAGGGUCCGGUCUUCUAGUGAGUCUUAGGUUCUUGGCUUCGCGGGGUCUUAGCCAAAUCUUGCAUUUUUAGCCACUUUUAGCCACAUAGGUUAAUUGUAGAAGAAUAGUCCCAAUAAUGUCUUGCAUGUGUCCAACAGGAAGGGUUAUUGUCUCACAUAGCGUUCUAGGUCUUUAACUUUAUUUGCUCUUAAUUUUCUCAUAUAGGCCUACUUACCGGAGUUUGAGCAUGUCAGACACCCCAGGACCAUCCAGUCAGGAUCACUCAUUCAGGAGUUGCUUGUUGUAAAUUGUGUGAAUUGAGUUGUAUCAUUGGACUCCACUGUUGAAAUAUUUAGAGUUCAAGUUGAAAUUCUAUUGUCAAACUUCUUAAUGCUGAUGAAAGUUCUGUUGGGAUCAGUCUUGAUUGUGGGAGCAUUGUUUUGUGAUUUUAAUUCAAUCUAUGAGCUAUAUUUGUAGGGCAAUGUUUGAAAGUAAAUCCUGCAUUGUACACCAGUUAUCUUUACGCUAAGACUUUCAAGUUCUAAAGCUUGUUUUGUUGAAGUUUGCCACUAUUUGUGGAGAAGUUUUUGGAGUGAAUUGAUAGCUGAAAGUCUCCUAGUUUGAACUUGUUACCACCGGUUUCUAAUAGUUGUCAUUGAGUUUAAUAGAGGGGCUUCAGUUGGACUAGAGAUUGGGCAACUUGAAUUGUGAUUUGGUUGAGCAUAUAGUAAGCUAAAUUUGCCAAAAAUUUGUGUUAGUUGAGAUUGUGCUUGAGUUCAGCAGUGAUAGUCGAAAUCUGGUUUUUACUACUAAAAUGUUCUCCUUGUUGAAUUGAGUGCUCUUGUUACAUAACCUAUUGUCCAGUUGGUUAGAAUAUGCUCAUAGAAGUUGAAGGUUUGCUGGGCAAUAAUUUGCUGCUAGUUUCCUAUUGCUGUAAAGAAUUUCGUGCUUGAUGCCCGCAGUCCUGUAUUGUUCAGUUUCUGCUCAACAGUGUAUUAUCAUCUAAUGGCUUUCUUCUUAGCUCUGACAGUACAAUUAGGUGGAUUGUAACGUAUUGACUUAGAUUAUUCUUCUACUUGGAGUGGUUUAAUCUUUUAGUUGCUGCAGUCUUUUACAUUGCAACAUGUCUGGAGUUAGUUUUUCUAGCGUCCAAGUUCUCAAAUUGGAUGCACAAUGGGCUUUUAUACAAGUAUUAUUAUACGUGUUUAUUCAACAUGUUUUAGCUGUAAAUGUUGAUCUCUACAUGGUUGAUCUUUUCCUAAGCAGCUGGAAAAUUGAGAAGAACAACAGAAUAUUGGUGAAAAUCUAUAUCUAUACUGUGCUAAGUUUUGCAUUUAUCAACAAGGUUGCCAUAGUUAGGAAAGAACAAUGAGCUACCAGUAAGGUAAGAUUUCCGCACUUCUUUUGUGGAUUGAUAUUACUGCAGUUUUUCUGACCAGUUGAGGGAAUUUGGCACAAGUUUUAGCUUCAGUUAACUCACCUGCAAUGCUUCAGUUUAUAUGCCAACAAUACACUACUGAAAUUCAGGUUUUGAGCAGUCUUUUGAAAGCAAAUUCUGCACUGUUCAGCUGCACAUUGUCUGCACUUUGUGGUUAUUCUGGUUGAAGCUGCUGCAUAUCUGUGCACAACCUACUAACUAUGAUCACUGUGAGAAGGGGCGUUAGAUGAUGUACAGAAUUAUAUUUUUGUGAACAUUUGUCACGUUAGUGAUCAUUAUUGCUAUAUUCCAUGUGUUAGAGUUGACUCGAUUUCAGCUUUUACACAGAAGCACAAGUUAGUCUUUUUGUCUCUGUUAUCAUUUUUAUAUCUUUUCAAAAUCCUUUUUGGUCAUCAUCUUUUGGUUGUAAUUUGUAACAAAUUGCAGUUGAGAUGCUGAUAAUUGUUAGACGCAUUAAUCAGUUGUUGUUUUUAAAAACAAAACUAAAAAACUAUAAAAAAAGAAAGAAAGAGAUUUUGC